rnacentral:rRNA from 1 species
UGGGGAAUAUUGGACAAUGGGGGGAACCCUGAUCCAGCCAUGCCGCGUGUGUGAAGAAGGCCUUAUGGUUGUAAAGCACUUUAAGCGAGGAGGAGGGUACUGGUAUUAAUACUACCAGCUACUGGACGUUACUCGCAGAAUAAGCACCGGCUAACUCUGUGCCAGCAGCCGCGGUAAUACAGAGGGUGCGAGCGUUAAUCGGAUUUACUGGGCGUAAAGCGUGCGUAGGCGGCUAAUUGAGUCGGAUGUGAAAUCCCCGAGCUUAACUUGGGAAUUGCAUUCGAUACUGGUUAGCUAGAGUGUGGGAGAUGAUGGUAGAAUUCCAGGUGUAGCGGUGAAAUGCGUAGAGAUCUGGAGGAAAACCGAUGGCGAAGGCAGCCAUCUGGCCUAACACUGACGCUGAGGUACGAAAGCAUGGGGAGCAAACAGG